GUUAUGUACAUCAGUGCAUUAGUGGGAGAGGGUUAUUGACAUUGUUUAUGACUUGUGUCGUUCCCCACUUCUACUCAGCUCAUAGCAGCAGUGAGACACUUGUUUUUUUACUCUUACAUAAAUAAAAAAAUCUGGGUGAUCAGAGGUGAGUCAGUUGUGAAACGGUGUGUUUCCCUGAGUUAAUGAAACAUUGGACUUGCAUCAACUGUCCAACAAACACCAGAUAAAUCAGAGAAUCCUGCAAAGUGGCAGCAAACAUUUGAGGCAUCACAACUCAAGAGGGAUAAUCAACCAGACUGGUGUUAAGAGACGUGACAACAUGAAGACUGUGAUCGUGGCCCUUUUGGUAGUGCUGGUCGUCAGCCACAGUGAAGCUUUAAGGUGUUACUGUAGAGGCAAGGCUUAUUGUUCAAGCUUUCUGGAAACCUGCGUUGGUUCAAACCAAGUUUGUGCCGCCUUUUUGUUUGCUGAUCUUGACUACUUCUUGAGUUGCUACGACGCAUUUGAUUGUGAAAAAUUGAUGAAUUCUACGUCAGCAAUGGGUGUAUGCUGCCACACUGACCUGUGCAACUGAUAAAUGAACGCCAUGCAGCACAUCUGCCAGUGAAUGAAUGAUUCACUGCCAUUGUCCUAAUAAAGAUGAUUCAUUUGAAACCACAGUCCAUGGGAUGCUUUAAGGACACAAGAAAACAGGUCUUCUGCAGGUCUUUCUUCCCACAGUUCAAAGACAAGCAGAUUAGGUUCAUAGGUUAAUUUGAGUUUGAACAAAACUGAAUCAAUACGACAACAAGAGACUUAAAACUUUAGAGUUGCAAUGAUUUUCAGAGAAGAUUUAAUCACUGUCAGCCUUUAUGUAUCAUGUUAUUAAGGUUCACAAUCACCAGCACAAAAGAGUGUCAUUCAUUUCAGAUUUGCAUCACAGAAUAUGCACAAGAACAUCUAUAGAUGUUAUUAACUUUGUAUGGUGUUAUGUACAUCAGUGCAUUAGUGGGAAAGGGUUAUUGACAUUGUAUAUGACUUUGUAUUUCCCCACUUCUACUCAGCUCAUAGUCCCAGUGAGACACUGGUUUUUUAGAAACAUCUGGGUGAUCAAAGAUAAAUAAAGAAAUCCUGCAACGUGGCAGCAAACAUUUGAGGCAACACAACUCAAGAAGGAUAAUCAACCA